AUUCCCCUCUCCAAGCCUCUUCUUGACGUUCAUUUUGAAUUUCUUCUGGAUCCUAUUUUGUUUUGAGGAGGUAGGGUGAGUUGUCACAGAGAAAUCGGCUCUGGGCCUCUGGUUUCCAUCAGGAGGAUGCUGGCUGGAUCAUUUAUGGGCUGGAAGUUGGAACUUCAAAGAGAAUGCUCUAUCAUCCAUUCCUGGCAACAAAAGAUUUAGAAUCCAGGCCCCACCCCACCCCCACCCCUGGGGUGGGGGGAAGUGUUUGAUGUUUUCCCCUCAUUCCUUCUUUGUGAAUGCAAACCAGAACCUUUCCAGUCUUCAAAACGCUUCCCAGUCCUUCAUCACCUGACUUUUGUCCAUUCCCGGCUCCUAUAGUCCGCACUUGGUGUCAUCCUGAUCCUGGUAAUUUCAACAUUGACCAUUGUGAACCCAUGAAAGACUAUGUGUGGGGUCUGGGGAACUCACCGACCAAUACCUUUUCAUUGGGUUUUCUGGUGCUGA